UAGCUUAAUGGUAAAGCACCCAACCGGCAAUUGGGGGAUCUGGGUUCAAGUCCCGG
rfam:Strigamia maritima strain Brora ctg7180001231465, whole genome shotgun sequence.